ACUCCUACGGGAGGCAGCAGUGGGGAAUAUUGCACAAUGGGCGCAAGCCUGAUGCAGCCAUGCCGCGUGUAGUGAAGAAGGCCCUUCGGGGUUGUAAAAGCACUUUCAGUCAGUGAGGAAGGUAGUGUAGUUAAUAGCUGCAUUAUUUGACGUUAGCUGCAGAAGAAGCACCGGCUAACUCCGUGCCAGCAGCCGCGGUAAUACGGAGGGUGCGAGCGUUAAUCGGAAUUACUGGGCGUAAAGCGCAUGCAGGUGGUUUGUUAAGUCAGAUGUGAAAGCCCGGGGCUCAACCUCGGAAUAGCAUUUGAAACUGGCAGACUAGAGUACUGUAGAGGGGGUAGAAUUUCAGGUGUAGCGGUGAAAUGCGUAGAGAUCUGAAGGAAUACCGGUGGCGAAGGCGGCCCCCUGGACAGAUACUGACACUCAGAUGCGAAAGCGUGGGGAGCAAACAGGAUUAGAUACCCUGGUAGACAUC
rnacentral:rRNA from 1 species